CUAACAUGUAAGCUCACUGAGCAGGCCCUCAAUCCCUCUGUUACUGUGUCACUAUACCCCACUCCCUCUAACAUGUAAACUCACUGAGCAGGCCCUCAAUCCCUCUGUUACUGUCACUAUACCCCACUCCCUCUAACAUGUAAACUCACUGAGCAGGGCCCUCAAUCCCUCUGUUACUGUGUCACUAUACCCCACUCCCUCUAGCAUGUAAACUCACUGAGCAGGGCCCUCAAUCCCUCUGUUACUGUGUCACUAUACCCCACUCCCUCUAACAUGUAAACUCACUGAGCAGGGCCCUCAAUCCCUCUGUUACUGUGUCACUAUACCCCACUCCCUCUAACAUGUAAACUCACUGAGCAGGGCCCUCAAUCCCUCUGUUACUGUCACUAUACCCCACUCCCUCUAACAUGUAAACUCACUGAGCAGGCCCUCAAUCCCUCUGUUACUGUGUCACUAUACCCCACUCCCUCUAACAUGUAAACUCACUGAGCAGGCCCUCAAUCCCUCUGUUACUGUGUCACUAUACCCCACUCCCUCUAACAUGUAAACUCACUGAGCAGGGCCCUCAAUCCCUCUGUUACUGUGUCACUAUACCCCACUCCCUCUAACAUGUAAACUCACUGAGCAGGCCUCAAUCCCUCUGUUACUGUGUCACUAUACCCCACUCCCUCUAACAUGUAAACUCACUGAGCAGGGCCCUCAAUCCCUCUGUUACUGUCACUAUACCCCACUCCCUCUAACAUGUAAACUCACUGAGCAGGCCCUCAAUCCCUCUGUUACUGUGUCACUAUACCCCACUCCCUCUAACAUGUAAACUCACUGAGCAGGCCCUCAAUCCCUCUGUUACUGUGUCACUAUACCCCACUCCCUCUAACAUGUAAACUCACUGAGCAGGGCCCUCAAUCCCUCUGUUACUGUCACUAUACCCUACUCCCUCUAACAUGUAAACUCACUGAGCAGGCCCUCAAUCCCUCUGUUACUGUCACUAUACCCCACUCCCUCUAACAUGUAAACUCACUGAGCAGGACCCUCAAUCCCUCUGUUACUGUGUCACUAUACCCCACUCCCUCUAGCAUGUAACCUCACUGAGCAGGGCCCUCAAUCCCUCUGUUACUGUGUCACUAUACCCCACUCCCUCUAACAUGUAAACUCACUGAGCAGGCCCUCAAUCCCUCUGUUACUGUGUCACUAUACCCCACUCCCUCUAACAUGUAAACUCACUGAGCAGGCCCUCAAUCCCUCUGUUACUGUGUCACUAUACCCCACUCCCUCUAACAUGUAAACUCACUGAGCAGGCCCUCAAUCCCUCUGUUACUGUGUCACUAUACCCCACUCCCUCUAACAUGUAAACUCACUGAGCAGGGC